CGUCCGCGGUUGACGAUGUCAUGAUGGUCGCUCUUUAUUUAUUCGGAGUUAUUUAUUCAGUGGCCGAAUACAUGUGGUUGCAAUGGUUGUAGCGUUAUUGCGUUGUAACAUGUUUGUGGGUGUGGUGUGUUCGUGUGUGUCAUACGUACUGGUCGCAUCAUUGGUAGUGACGGCAAGUGGAUGUGAAAGUAGUGAAAGUAGUAGUUCUACGUUAUGUGUGUCAGAUGCCUUGCACUCUCUUUCCUUUUUUGUUGUUUGCGUCGAAGAACUCGCAGUCACGUUGUGCGUACAUUCCUCGUUGACGUGAUCGUGAGCUACGAACAGUACUGAAUCACUAGUGUCCACGUGCCAGCUGAUUGGUAAUGGGGUCUAACCACCCAAGGUGAUCCAGCUGGUUGCAGGGGUUAGCAAAAAGAUGCGGGGUGUCUCAUCUGGUAAAGUCGAUGCGUCUUAUUGUGCCCUGCACAGUCGAUCUGGUGUCGCUUGCGCAGUGCGCUUGUUAUGUGGUCCGGUUUAGGAGUUCAAUUUGUGAACUGCUGCCGCUUUUUACCUAACAGCGUUCAUCGUUCUGUUCAACGGCGUUGUUUUGUUGCGUGGUAGGUGCCAAGACAAGGAAAGCAGCGCUAGCUCGUGAGAAAAGGCACAGGAUUCGAGCGGCGAAAGUUUCAACGUAGAAAAGCCCCUUCUUGACAAUCCACUAAGACAUGGAGCAUGGUCAACUUCUACCACAGGUUGGAGAUGCAGAACCAGCAGCAAGUAACGCAUUUCUCGGCUCAAAGAGGUUGGCAUCAAAGAGUUUUUCUGCCAGCAGGGAGACACUCUUGAGGGUAAAUGCCAUCGCGAUGACAGACAUUCUCCUGCCGUCCUGGGCAACGAGCCGUUCAUUUGCCAACCGCAGCUCCAUCAGUUCUUGGCCAGCAGCCUCCAUGGACCUCUCUUUGGUGAGUGAAUGUUGAUGGCCGCAGGGGAGCCUUGAAACCAGCAGCAACAGGAUUGCUGGAGUUCAGCAGGUCAAAUGCACUGCAAGGGAAAUAAUAGUUAUUAAAUCAGAUUACGCACCACCACAUAAAUUCAAAAGGACAUUUUUAGAUGUGCAUGCAAACUUUCAAAAAAGAUUGAAAGAUCCUGCAGUCUGUGCAGUUACAAUAUUUGAGACUGUUCUUGUAAAGUUCAGCAUUCUUUGAACUUUCAGCUUCACUUCACAUUUCCUCAAAUUUUUUCAAAAAAGGUUUGAAAACCUGCACUUGAUAAGACGCUCCAAUGCCCACAAUCAGCCUAAGGAAAGUUAUCAAAGUACUUGAGAUGUUCACAAUUGUAGUGAAUGAUGCUUGUUAUUAUGUUGUACUGAAAUGCAGCAAGAAGGAUAGCACACGAACGUGAGAAGGAAGAAAUGUUUUUUCUUUUUUCUUGAGUUUCUUCUCAUGCUCUUGCUCAAUGUAUUCAACAUUAUUUACUUGUAACGUUACUUUCACUUCUGGUAGGUUUCCAAUAUCCAUUGAGGUGAAGCAUUAUUCUCAGUGUUGAAUACAAAUGUGGUUGCAGGGCUCAGUUAUUAUGUGAAUAUUUUAUCCACAUAACCUAGACAAUGCUACUACUAAUCUGUAUGCUUGCAUCUGAAUGACUGUUGCACACCUGACGCACAUUGCUUUCUUUUUUCCAACAUCAUUUAAUGUAACACAGAUACGACUUUGUGGCAUCAUGCCGCUUGUAUACACUCGUAUGCUGCACCCGACAGAGUCCACUUAUGCUUGCCUGUAUGGGAUGUAAUGACCCUGAAUAGCGUCAUUUCAUUCCUGUGAAUGAACGGUUCAUCCAUGAUGUAAAGUGUGUUUUUCUUUCGUGUUCCUUUUCCAAAGAUUUGUAGAAAUUAAUGUUCAAACUUUUAUUAUUAACCUGUCUACCAGCGGUGCAUAGUGUAAUAUCUUGCGAAAUUUUUUUAUUGCUAUUUCACAGCAGAAAUAUAUUUAUUAAACCUGUGCAUCUAACAGUUGUGACCCAUUAAACUUGUAUUCUUGCCUAAUAUAUAUGCUUCACAUUUAUGCUGCUGAGAAAAAAUGGUGACCACAUGUGGUGUUCAUCAACAUUCAUCAGGAUCAUGUGGAACUUUUUAUUGCUGCUGUUACCUUUGAUGCAAUUGAUAACAAAGUAUUGUAUUUAGAUGCAUUGUGCACCUGCUUUAUUUACACUGCUCCACAACAGCUUCUAGUAAUGCUCCUUGUAUAAAAAUAUUUGCUGGGUGUAUUUAUUACACACAAAGAGAACUGAUUGAGACGGAGGAAUGGCCCGCCAUUCUAUGUAGACCUGUGUGCCCUUUCGAAGUAGUCAACAUUCACUUUCUCUCUUAACUUCUCUGUACUACAAUGUUUCAAAUUCCAAUAAAUUUGCGUCUUAUUGUUGAGUA